AUACGGAGGAUCCGAGCGUUAUCCGGAUUUAUUGGGUUUAAAGGGUGCGCAGGCGGCCAUUUAAGUCAGCGGUUAAAUCGUGGGGCUCAACCCCAUUCUGCCGUUGAUACUGGGUGGCUUGAUUGCGGUCGAGGUUGGCGGAAUUCGUUGUGUAGCGGUGAAAUGCAUAGAUAUGACGAAGAACACCGAUUGCGUAGGCAGCUGACCAGACCGCAAAUGACGCUCAUGCACGAAAGUGCGGGGAUCGAACAGGAUUAGAUACCCUGGUAGUCCGCACAGUAAACGAUGAAUACUCGCUGUUUGCGAUACAGUGUAAGCGGCACAGCGAAAGCGUUAAGUGAUCCACCUGGGGAGUACGCCGGCAACGGUGAAACUCAAAUGAAUUGACGGGG
rnacentral:rRNA from 1 species